rnacentral:antisense_RNA from 1 species
UCGCAAACGACAUUGCUCACAUUGCUUCCAGUUUUAGCAGGCCAACCACUCUGAGUUGGCCUUUUUUU